UGCCAGAAUAGAGGCUACGCGAUGGC
rnacentral:piRNA from 1 species